GGGGUUGUGGCUCAGUGGUAGAGCGCUUGCCUCACAUGUGAGACACUGGAUUCGGUUUUCAGCACCA
rnacentral:tRNA from 1 species